ACGCUGGCGGCAGGCCUAACACAUGCAAGUCGAGCGGAAACGACAACAUUGAAUCUUCGGAGGAUUUGUUGGGCGUCGAGCGGCGGACGGGUGAGUAAUGCCUAGGAAAUUGCCUUGAUGUGGGGGAUAACCAUUGGAAACGAUGGCUAAUACCGCAUAAUGCCUACGGGCCAAAGAGGGGGAUCUUCGGACCUCUCGCGUCAAGAUAUGCCUAGGUGGGAUUAGCUAGUUGGUGAGGUAAUGGCUCACCAAGGCGACGAUCCCUAGCUGGUCUGAGAGGAUGAUCAGCCACACUGGAACUGAGACACGGUCCAGACUCCUACGGGAGGCAGCAGUGGGGAAUAUUGCACAAUGGGCGAAAGCCUGAUGCAGCCAUGCCGCGUGUAUGAAGAAGGCCUUCGGGUUGUAAAGUACUUUCAGUUGUGAGGAAGGGUGUGUAGUUAAUAGCUGCRYAUCUUGACGUUAGCAACAGAAGAAGCACCGGCUAACUCCGUGCCAGCAGCCGCGGUAAUACGGAGGGUGCGAGCGUUAAUCGGAAUUACUGGGCGUAAAGCGCAUGCAGGUGGUUCAUUAAGUCAGAUGUGAAAGCCCGGGGCUCAACCUCGGAACUGCAUUUGAAACUGGUGAACUAGAGUGCUGUAGAGGGGGGUAGAAUUUCAGGUGUAGCGGUGAAAUGCGUAGAGAUCUGAAGGAAUACCAGUGGCGAAGGCGGCCCCCUGGACA
rnacentral:rRNA from 3 species